UGGCGAUGAAGCAGUGGACUGGUUCGGUCACAGCCGAUUGCGGAGCCAAACCAUGGGUUGAGCGAAAACCACAAGCCGAAUAGAUUCCCGGAAUCGAAAGAAAACGCUAUAA
ncrna:unclassified sequences drum RNA